CUGUAUCAGAAAUCAGGCUGCCUUUUUAUUCGGAAAAAGGUCGAGGUGUGGGAUGGGGGUCGCUGCUCUUGAGCCUCGCUCCCUGUAAAGAAGGCAAGCAGGAUCCUAUGGGAAUGGUCAAGGAAACCAAGCAGGGACCGCUCGAGCUAACCAAUUUAAAAGACCUGCAGCUUGGCAGCGUGGCACAAGCAGAAGAAAAAAACCCUGGAAAAUUUUUUACAAACGUUUUCUGGAAGACUUUAAAGGUCUACGUUCACAGCAGCAGCGAGCCUUCAUGAGACAGUGCAGUCAGUUUAAGGACGCAAUCACUGUGAUAUUUUUUGCCUUUUCCCUCUUCACCGUGAUGCUGAGUGGGUGAUUAUAGCAUUAGUUAAUGCAAAGGGAUAGAGCUGAUCAUCUAAAUGCUUCUAAGUGUGCAUGCCGUCUCCCCUGCCCCAAAUUUCAGGAAUUCUCCUGAUUCAUAGUCCAGUCUAUACUAGGCUAGCUGGUGUGGGAAUACAGCACAAAAGGAGCGACUCUGCUUUCUGAAGAGCGUACAGUAAGCUUGAAUACAAGCAGAUGGGAAAGCACGCACAAAAUAAAAUCAUUUAGAACUGUG